ensembl:snRNA U5 U5 spliceosomal RNA
UAGCUCGGGUUUCUCUUCAUCACGCCAUAAAUCUUUUCGCCUUUUACUAAAAGAUUUCCGUGGAGAGGAACGUUGACGAGUUCAACUUAUUUUUGUGAGCUUUGCUGAGGCAAAGCU